GGUGGUCUUCAGUUGUAUUAUCUUUUAAAAAAAAAUUACACCUGUAUAGUGUAUAUUCUUUAGUGUAAAUCAAGGGAAAAUACUGUGAACUAUCUGUGCAUUGGGGCUUAUUAAAAGGUAUUUCGGGGGGAAGAAAGAAGGGAGGGUGAGUCCAUGGGAGGUAAUCCCCACCCCUUUCAAUUUGAGAAUAUGCUAUUAUCUUGUAAACGGUCCAGAUCCCCAUCCCUAAACCAUAUAUAUUCUUGAAUGGGACGAUAAAACAAAUCAAAUGAAAUUAAAAGGAGGUCUUUGGGGGUUACCCCACCCUGUUCAAUUUGAGAAUGUGCUAUUAUCUUGUGAACGAUCCAGAUCCCCACCCCUAAACCAUAUAUAUUCUUGUCGGGGACAAUAAAAUUAAUAAUGAAAUAAAAUAAAAGUGAAGUCCCACCCCUCUAGUUUGAAAACUUGUAAACGGUCAAGAUCCCCACCCCUAAACCAUAUUUAUAUAUUCUUGUAUAGAACAAUAAAACAAAUCAAAGGAAAUAUAGGGAGAGUCCAUGGGGUUCACCCCCACCCCCACAUGUUUGAGAAACUUUUAAAUGGUUGAGAUCCCCUGUCAUCCAGUGGUUAGGUGAAAAAAUUUCAGGAUCCCUGAUCCCCACCCUCAAACCAUAUAUAUUCUUGUAUGAGACAAUAAAACAAAUCAAAUGAAUAUAGGACCAUCCCCUUUGUCUUGGGUUGGGAACCCCCC
rnacentral:lncRNA from 1 species